GACGAACCGUGCGAACGUUGUUCGGAUUCACUGGGCUUAAAGGGCGCGUAGGCGGGCGGUCAAGUCAGGGGUGAAAUCUUUCGGCUCAACCGGAAAAGUGCCUUUGAUACUGGCCGUCUCGAGGGAGGUAGGGGCAUGCGGAACUUCCGGUGGAGCGGUGAAAUGCGUAGAUAUCGGAAGGAACGCCGGUGGCGAAAGCGGCGUGCUGGACCUCUUCUGACGCUGAGGCGCGAAAGCCAGGGGAGCAAACAGG
rnacentral:rRNA from 1 species